rnacentral:rRNA from 1 species
UACAGAGGUCCCGAGCGUUGUUCGGAUUCAUUGGGCGUAAAGGGUGCGUAGGCGGCUUGCUAAGUUUGAUGUGAAAUCCUGGGGCUCAACCCUGGGACUGCAUUGAAUACUGGCAGGCUAGAGUACUGGAGAGGAAACUGGAAUUUACGGUGUAGCAGUGAAAUGCGUAGAGAUCGUAAGGAAGACCAGUGGCGAAGGCGAGUUUCUGGACAGUUACUGACGCUGAGGCACGAAGGCCAGGGAGCAAACGGG